UCCGGCGAACUCCACAAUCUCCGGAAACCUUGGUGAUCUACCGUGAACUCGGCGAUCCCCGGCGAACUCUGGUUACCUCCAGCGAAUUCGGCGAGAUAACAACCACAAUUUUAUUUAGACAGCCGUCAAAAUGGUGCUUCUUCGACAACACUGUGUGAGACUCUGAGCAAGACUGAGAGAGCGAUAGUCAUGGAGAUUAGCGAGGAAGAAGAGGACUUCACAUCUAUUGAAACCAUACCUCUUUAAUCAAAGAACGAUUCCGUUAUCAGUCUCUCACCGAAAAAGUUCGUUCUUUCACUCUUUCUAUCUCUUUGUCUCGCUACAUUCACUCUCCCAAACGUUCAAGAAGAUCAGAGCGAUCCCGUCCGUCACCACCAAUCGGUCACCACCUGGAUCUUCAAGAUCUGAAUUCAACAAGAAGGCUUCUCAGAUCGGUAUACAUAUCCACAAAACGUCUCAGAAGACCGCGAGGCUCUCUAAAUUGGCAAAAGAAUCGUCCAUUUUCAAUCACCGGCUGUCUAUAUACGGGAGCUAACAGAGUUGAUCAGGAAUGAUAUCACGGGGCUGAACAUGGCUCUCUCUGAUCUGCAGACCCUUCAGAACAUGGAGAUCGCUGAUGGGAGCUAUUCACAUGACAAAUUUGGUCACUACAGAGCUGUUUGUGAUGACUUGAAAACCAGACUUAUGGGAGCUACAAAGCAGUUUGAUCAAGAUGUUCUUACUGUGAGAUCAGAGAACAUGAAGCCUCAUGAAAAUUGGAAAUAAUUGUUUUAGCUAAAGCCUUUGUUGUCAUCGCUAAAGAAAGCAAAAACCUUCAGUUCGCUUGGGAUCUUAGCGCUCAGAUCCGCAACUCUCAGCUGAUUCUCUCCACUACCGCUGCUUCCAGACGUCCCGUGACGGUUCUUGACUCUGAACCCACUAUCCGCGACAUGGCUGUCUUGCGUUACCAAUCUCAGCAGCUUCAUUACAACAGCGCCACUAUGAUCAUGAGGCUCAAGGCUACUAUUCAGUCUUUGAAGAGCAUAUGAGUUCUGUUACUGAGAAGAGUGCUAAGUAUGCUCAGAUUGCUGCUGAGGAAGUGCCCAAGAGUCUUUACUGACUUGGUGUUCAUCUCACUACUGAGUGGUUUCAGAACUCUGAGUUACAGGAGAAGCUUGCGGAGAGAAGCUAUGCUGUGGCUUCUAAGAUCACCGAUAACAGUCUUUACCAUUUCUGUGUGUUUUCUGAUAACAUUGUUGCUACUUCGGUUGUGGUUAACUCCAUUGCUCUCAACUCCAAGGCCCCUGAGAAAGUCGUCUUUCAUCUUGUCACUAACGAUAUCAACUACGCUGCGACGAAGUCAUGGUUUACUAUGAACAUGGACAACCUCAGAGGAGUCACUGUUGAUGUUCAGAAGUUUGAGGAUUUCAAAUGGCUUAAUGCUUCUUAUGUCCCCGUCCUCAAGCAGCUCCAAGAUUGAUACACAAAGUUACUAUUUCCUGGAUACAACGACGAUGUACGCACACCGAUCAAGUUCAGAAACCCCAAUCUCAAUGCUCAAUUAUACUUUUUUAUAAUGGCUUAUAAAAGAAACUGUAAAAGUGAUUUUCUUUAAUAAGCAAAGAAAUGAUGGAAAGUUGGUUAAUUUGGUGAUUUAUAAACUCUUAUAAAUAGAUUUAUAAAUCUUGUAAAUUAGUUUAUAAACACUUAUAAAUAAAUGUAUAAACUCUUAUAAAUAGCUUAUAAGUUCUUGUAAAUAA